GGCACUAAGGAAGACUCCUGAGAAUUACUUCUUAUCAAAAUGCAGAGGACCCAUUACCUCUGUAUGAUACCAGUCACCACACAUUUCUGGAGCACAGUUAAUCAGGAAUUACAGCUUUCUGUCAUUAUACCAACCCAAAGAUUCUUUUGCUCUACCAGAAGCUGUGCAAUGGCUUGAUUUCAGAAAACACACUCAAACUGCAUGGAGUAGAUUUAUUUUCAGUCCUGCCCAUCAAGAUCUCUCUGACCCCUUGGAUGUUUCUUACUUUUGACACUUUUCCAGCCUAUAUGUUUCAGUAAACUGAAGCGAUUUGUAAAAUAGCAAAGGGCUGUGCAACAUUCCAAGGCAAUUUUCUGCACACGUAGGAGGCUAGUGGCUGUGAAUGAAAAUGAAAUAGUGGCUACGUCAGCUGUGGAUCUGUG